GAUGAAGAACGUAGCGAAAUGCGACAAGUAAUGUGAAUUGCAGAAUUCCGUGAAUCAUCGAAUCUUUGAACGCACAUUGCGCCCCUUGGUAUUCCGAGGGGCAUGCCUGUUCGAGCGUCAUUAUAACCCCUCAAGCUCAGCUUGGUGUUGGGGCCUGCCGCACGGGCAGCCCUUAAAAUCAGUGGCGGUGCCAUCUGGCUCUAAGCGUAGUAAUUCUUCUCGCUAUAGAGUCCCGGUGGAUGCUUGCCAUUAACCCCCAAUUUUCUAUGGUUGACCUCGGAUCAGGUAGGGAUACCCGCUGAACUUAAGCAUAUCAAUAAGCGGAGGA
rnacentral:misc_RNA from 1 species